rnacentral:rRNA from 1 species
GAGGAAUAAGCAUCGGCUAACUCCGUGCCAGCAGCCGCGGUAAUACGGGGGAUGCAAGCGUUAUCCGGAAUCAUUGGGCGUAAAGCGCCUGUAGGUUGUUUAAUAAGUCUGUUGUUAAAGACUAGGGCUCAACCCUAGAAAAGCAAUGGAAACUACUAGACUAGAGUAUGGCAGGGGUAGAGGGAAUUUCUAGUGUAGCGGUGAAAUGCGUAGAUAUUAGAAAGAACACCGGUGGCGAAAGCGCUCUACUGGACCAUUACUGACACUCAGAGGCGAAAGCUAGGGUAGCAAAAGGGAUUAGAUACCCCUGUAGUCCUAGCCGUAAACGAUGGAUACUAGAUGUUGUACGUAAAGUACAGUAUCCUAGCUAACGCGUUAAGUAUCCCGCCUGGGGAGUACGCUCGCAAGGGUGAAACUCAAAGGAAUUGACGGGGGCCCGCACAAGCGGUGGAGCAUGUGGUUUAAUUCGAUGCAACGCGAAGAACCUUACCAGGGCUUGACAUACUACAAAUUCUUUAGAGAUAGAGAAGUGCCUUCGGGAAUGUAGAUACAGGUGGUGCAUGGCUGUCGUCAGCUCGUGUCGUGAGAUGUUGGGUUAAGUCCCGCAACGAGCGCAACCCUUGUUUUUAGUUACUAAUUCGUUAGGUUUUCUAGAAAGACUGCCGGUGACAAACCGGAGGAAGGUGAGGAUGACGUCAAGUCAGCAUGCCCCUUAUGUCCUGGGCUACACACGUGCUACAAUGGUUAAGACAAAGAGUCGCGAGCUCGCGAGAGUCAGCUAAUCUCAUAAACUUAGCCUAAGUUCAGAUUGUAGGCUGCAACUCGCCUGCGUGAAG